CCUAUAAACGCCAGGGAAUUACGAGCCAAGCUUAAAACCCAAAGGACUUGACGGUGUCCCAACCAACUAGAGGAGCCUGUCCUAUAAUCGAUGAUCCGCGUUUUACCUGACCCCCCCUUGCCUCUCAGCCUGUAUACCUCCGUCGUAAAUCCGCCAUAUGAAUGUUUUCAGCGGAUCCAAUGACCCACCCGUCAACACGUCAGGUCAAGGUGCAGCCCAUGGAGGGAGGAAGCGAUGGGCUACAAUUUCUAACCUAGAACAAACGAAAUACUGUAUGAAACACACUAUGAAGGAGGAUUUAGUAGUAAAAAGAAAACAGCAUGUUCUUUUUAACAUGGCUCUGGGAUGUGUACACACCGCCCGUCACCCUCAAA
rnacentral:rRNA from 1 species